rnacentral:rRNA from 1 species
GGACGAACGCUGGCGGCGUGCCUAAUACAUGCAAGUCGAACGCUUCUUUUUCCACCGGAGCUUGCUCCACCGGAAAAAGAGGAGUGGCGAACGGGUGAGUAACACGUGGGUAACCUGCCCAUCAGAAGGGGAUAACACUUGGAAACAGGUGCUAAUACCGUAUAACAAUCGAAACCGCAUGGUUUUGAUUUGAAAGGCGCUUUCGGGUGUCGCUGAUGGAUGGACCCGCGGUGCAUUAGCUAGUUGGUGAGGUAACGGCUCACCAAGGCGACGAUGCAUAGCCGACCUGAGAGGGUGAUCGGCCACAUUGGGACUGAGACACGGCCCAAACUCCUACGGGAGGCAGCAGUAGGGAAUCUUCGGCAAUGGACGAAAGUCUGACCGAGCAACGCCGCGUGAGUGAAGAAGGUUUUCGGAUCGUAAAACUCUGUUGUUAGAGAAGAACAAGGAUGAGAGUAACUGUUCAUCCCUUGACGGUAUCUAACCAGAAAGCCACGGCUAACUACGUGCCAGCAGCCGCGGUAAUACGUAGGUGGCAAGCGUUGUCCGGAUUUAUUGGGCGUAAAGCGAGCGCAGGCGGUUUCUUAAGUCUGAUGUGAAAGCCCCCGGCUCAACCGGGGAGGGUCAUUGGAAACUGGGAGACUUGAGUGCAGAAGAGGAGAGUGGAAUUCCAUGUGUAGCGGUGAAAUGCGUAGAUAUAUGGAGGAACACCAGUGGCGAAGGCGGCUCUCUGGUCUGUAACUGACGCUGAGGCUCGAAAGCGUGGGGAGCAAACAGGAUUAGAUAC